rnacentral:tRNA from 1 species
GGUCCCGUGGUCCAGCGGCGACGACUCCUGGCCUACACCCAGGCAACGAAGGUUCGAUUCCUUCCGGGACUA